rnacentral:rRNA from 1 species
AUGGCAGAUGCACCUCUUUACAAGCAGCACCGCAGGUACACCAGGGAGCUCCACGACGUCGACCUCCACGGCAACCACAAGCUCCACGUCAUUUGCAGAAGCAAGGGUGAAGACGUGGACAAGAUGCUGUCCACGCUCAGGAGGAAGCUCGGCAGAAUGCCCGUCAAACUAGUCGGCGUUGAUGUCGAGUACACGCACUACGUGAAGCCACAGCGGACGGCAGUGCUCCAGCUAUGCGUAGAAAAAGAAUGCCUUGUCUACCACAUCUCUGCAGCUAAAGACAGGAGACAAAAGCUAGCUGAAGCUAUCUGGUUUGGAGAUCAACUCCACAACUAUAUUCAGGUGGAAUGGAGAGACCCAUACAAUAAAAAGAAGUUUGACUCUUUGGCUGAUGUUGCCGGCAGGAUGAUAGACAUUCACUACCAUGACAUGAAGAAAAAAAUUAACCACAAGGAGGACCAUACUUUGUGGGGAUUUUGCCCACUGCCAGAAAAGCUUAUCAAGUAUGCAGCAAUAGAUGCAUUCGCAACAUAUGAGUCAUGGAGAAUCAUCUACGAUGUCAUCAUGGGACUGGACAGGGCAAAAAGAGACAAAGAAGCAAAGCAGAAGAAGAACAAGGCUGUAAUCCAAUACAAAAACUAG